rnacentral:misc_RNA from 1 species
GAAUAAAAUAUCAAGCAAAAUUAUUUUCAGCUAAAUUGAGAUUUGUACUCUCUCUUCUCCAACGAGUAUAAGGUUAGAACACCCUUUUAACGAGCUCAAAUUUUUAGCAACAAUAGAUUGAGAAAAGAAUCGAGGUAAAACAAAAGGUUCAGCUUUUGAAUUAGAUUCACUAUUAAUAGGCUCGUGACUCAAUCCUAGGCGAGAGAUCAUAAUAGGCACACAGCCCUACAAUUACAAUUAGCAAAAAUUGCAAGAUGAUAAGAGCAUUUUUGGGACUAUUUACAUGUGGAAAACAAUUUUUGUUUUUCAUUUUCCAAGAAAACUCAGUUUUCAUUUUCCAUGAAAAACAAGGGAAAACGCAUUGACUUGUUAAUAAAAAAAAAAGUUUUCUAAUU